AAGCCAUGUACCUCAUGGAGUACUGGUAGCAUGCUAAAUAGUAUCUAUUUGCUAGCAUUCAAGGAGGUUAGGAGAAUGAGUCUGAUUGCAAUGGGAUUGCCAAACUGACCCAUUUCAGGUAACCCAGGAUGAUGGUAACAUGCAGAUGAUGUCAACAUGAGUCUUCCAGCAAGAGCACUGGCUGGGGUCUCUGGGAAUUGAACCUGCAGCCUUUAGAGGUGGAAGGAAGCUUGAGCAGCAAAGUCACAAAAUCAGCAGCUCAGCUUCUCAUAGUGUUGCCACAGGAAAAAAGACCCACUUCUUUCUAUUGUGUGGCUUUUCCAAAUAAUUGCAAAUGACUCCGCAUUCAGAACACUGUGUAAUGUAAUGCUCUGGCUGGAAGCACUUUGAGUCUCCUUUUACAUGACACAGUGCACUAGACUUCACAGGCUCUCUGAGUAGAUCAAAGCUGCUGUUUUUUGAAAAAGGUAUGUAAGCAAAGAUGAAGGUUAAGUGGGAGAUAA